CAGGUGGUGAACAAACAGCAGGAGCAGAUGUAUUCCAAAGAACAAAGACUGUAAAGUCAUGCAUGAAUCCCUAGUAAUAAAAUGUUAGGCAAGAAAAACAAAGAGUCUGUCCUUUACAGAGAGAUCAGAAGAAUGGAAAUGAAGGCAUCAAGCACUACAAAAGUGUCCCAGUAUGAAAACCUGUUUCUAUACUGCGCCUCUGGUGGCUGCAAAAAGGUCUGUGAGCAGGUGGAACUUCCUGUGCAUCCAUUGGACCAAAUGGGACCUAUCUCAGUGUGCUUGCAUCAUUAUGAGACCACUCUCUGUUCUCUUCAAAAAGUCCUGGAGAUCAGAAGAAAUCUCCAGUGCCUGGAGAAGUGCAUUAUACUCAAAAAAGGCAGGCUGGUCAGCUUCAGUCUAGAUCCUGGGAAAAUCAUGCAGUCCUCUUAAAGCCCAUGUGGGCAGAAAAUGUGAUUGUCCUUCCUGAUAAAAUGACUGGUUUUAUUAA